GGGUUGUGAGGUUAAGCGACUAAGCGUACACGGUGGAUGCCCUGGCAGUCAGAGGCGAUGAAGGACGUGCUAAUCUGCGAUAAGCGUCGGUAAGGUGAUAUGAACCGUUAUAACCGGCGAUUUCCGAAUGGGGAAACCCAGUGUGUUUCGACACACUAUCAUUAACUGAAUCCAUAGGUUAAUGAGGCGAACCGGGGGAACUGAAACAUCUAAGUACCCCGAGGAAAAGAAAUCAACCGAGAUUCCCCCAGUAGCGGCGAGCGAA
rnacentral:rRNA from 1 species